ensembl:misc_RNA Metazoa_SRP Metazoan signal recognition particle RNA
GCUGGGCAUGGUGGCGGGUGCCUGUAGUCCCAGCUACUUGGGAGGCUGAGGCAGGAGAAUCGCUUGAACCUGGGAGGCAGAGGUUGCAGUGAGCCGAGAUCAUGCCACUGUACUGCAGCCUGGGUGACAGAGUGAGACUCUGUCUCAA